AGACUUUCUCUGGCCUCAUCAUGUCUUGGAUCUCAUGAAAUUUGGCAGUUGAAGUGAGGUGCAAGAAAGAAUUAAGGCACUUGAAUGAGAUUAAUCUAGGAAGACUUCCUGAAAUAGGCAAGGAAGAGCAGAACAAGCUCAGCUGGGAUGAAGACAAAAGUGUCUCCCCUACCUGCCCAGUGACAUAGAAACCCUAAGGACCCCAAGAGACCCAGGCAGAAGCAGAGCAGGCAGAGCCCCAUGCCCCAUCUCAAGGAUAUGAAGAGUGAGGAAAAGUUAUGUUCUGACAGCAUUGGGGGUGGAGAAGGUGUUCAAACUGACCCACAGAAUGAAGUAUGGCUAGAAGAGGCAAGAACAUAGAGG